UUCUUCUCUUGAAACAGACCCUAUUUAUAGGCAAAAAAUCUCCUCUUGUUGCUUGAUAACCGCCUUGCUUGGAGAGGAAUUCAUGGGUAGUGGGCGGUUUCUUUUCCUUCNNNNNNNNNNNNNNUCUUCCUUCUUCUCCAAGUCAUGUUGGAUCAUGCUUAUCAUGUGUUUUUCAUGGUUGUUUUCACGCUUCUCCUUUAGAUGCUCCCAUUGGGCUUUUUUCGUAUUGGGCCUUAAUAAAUCACUCCUUGGUCCAUGGCCCGGUACACAGCCCCCCAAGCACGAGGCUUCAAGAAGGCGAAGUGCUUUUGAAUGAAGUAACUUGACGAUCAUUAUGUCUCGGCGUGGUUCUAUGUCGCCUAUUUGUUGCUGACUCAUACUAUUUGU
rnacentral:lncRNA from 1 species